GCUUACAUCAUUCCUAUUUAUAUACUGCCAUUAUGUUCUGUACAAGCUUCGUUUAUUGUUUAUUGCAUUAGUUAACAUGAGUUUCAUAGCAUAGCUAUUCAUUUCAGUUUUUAAAUUAAUGCAAGUUGGAAAAAAUUAUCUUUGGAUUCCUAAGGAAAAUGAUAUGUUAGAAAUGAACCAUUUGAUUGGUGUCUAUACAACGGUGAUUAUUAGCCAAUCGUCAUUCAGCAUUCCAGUUGGUCACUUCAUCUGUCUUCUUAUUGGUCAAGUGCUGUAGUGGUCUCUGGUGUAUACACUUGCUGAAGAUGUGAAUAUUUAUAUUUUUUUACUUAGGGAGCACCUUGUUAUGGUAAAUUUUGUGAUACUUUCUUGCCUAAAUACGGGAAACCUCUGUUACCUUUACUUUUAAAAAAAAUUAAAAAUCACAAAUGUUUAAAAAUUGAUUAUUAUAUCAAAAUUAUUGUUUAGAAUAGUUAAUGUUAAUUGAUUUCCAUUUUGAUGAAGAAGCAGCCUGAACAAGAGUCCUAGAAGUGAAACAGUUUUCUUGUGAUAGCACUUGAUUGGAAAUUUGUCUCAUUCUGUCAUAUGUCAUGAUUGAAUUGAUAUAUAAUCCAUAUAUAUACUGAAUAAAGUCAUUGGACAAUGC
rnacentral:misc_RNA from 1 species